CCUACGGGUGGCAGCAGUGGGGAAUAUUGGACAAUGGGCGAAAGCCUGAUCCAGCCAUGCCGCGUGUGUGAAGAAGGCCUUCGGGUUGUAAAGCACUUUCAGUGGGGAAGAAAGCCUUGGGGCUAAUACCCUCGAGGAAGGACAUCACCCACAGAAGAAGCACCGGCUAACUCCGUGCCAGCAGCCGCGGUAAUACGGAGGGUGCGAGCGUUAAUCGGAAUUACUGGGCGUAAAGCGCGCGUAGGCGGUCUGAUAAGCCGGCUGUGAAAGCCCCGGGCUCAACCUGGGAACGGCAUCCGGAACUGUCAGGCUAGAGUGCAGGAGAGGAAGGUAGAAUUCCCGGUGUAGCGGUGAAAUGCGUAGAGAUCGGGAGGAAUACCAGUGGCGAAGGCGGCCUUCUGGACUGACACUGACGCUGAGGUGCGAAAGCGUGGGUAGCAAACAGGAUUAGAUACCUGGUAGUC
rnacentral:rRNA from 1 species